GGAGAUGUAUCGAAGUGGUCGUAACGAGAACGACUCGAAAUCGUUUUGUCCAGAGAUGGGCACGUGGGUUCGAAUCCCACCAUCUCCGCCA
rnacentral:tRNA from 1 species